rnacentral:rRNA from 1 species
GACGAACGCUGGCGGCGUGCCUAACACAUGCAAGUCGAGCGAGUGGAGUUCUUCGGAACAAAGCUAGCGGCGGACGGGUGAGUAACACGUGGGCAACCUGCCUCAUAGAGGGGAAUAGCCUCCCGAAAGGGAGAUUAAUACCGCAUAAGAUUGUAGCUUCGCAUGAAGUAGCAAUUAAAGGAGCAAUCCGCUAUGAGAUGGGCCCGCGGCGCAUUAGCUAGUUGGUGAGGUAACGGCUCACCAAGGCGACGAUGCGUAGCCGCCCGGAGAGGGUGAUCGGCCACAUUGGGACUAGGACACGGCCCAGACGCCUACGGGAGGAAGCAGUGGGGAAUAUUGCACAAUGGGGGCAACCCUGAUGCAGCAACGCCGCGUGAGUGAUGACGGCCUUCGGGUUGUAAAACUCUGUCUUCAGGGACGAUAAUGACGGUACCUGAGGAGGAAGCCACGGCUAACUACGUGCCAGCAGCCGCCGUAACAC